rnacentral:lncRNA from 1 species
UCUCCACGUAGUAGUAGGCAUCGACGGUGGCAUCUAGCUCCUGGGCUCCGACAUCUGGUUGCAUCAACCGGAAAGAAGAAGAAAGGAGAAAAGGGAGAGCAAAGCAACCGUGAGUACUCAUCCAAAGUACUCGCAAGCAAGGAUCUACACUACAUAUGCAACAUUAUCAAAGGAAGGAUGUAUAUGUGGACUGGGCUGCAGAAAUGCCAGAAUAGAGAGAAGGCCUAGUCCUAUCGAAGACUAGCAUCUUCGGGAAACCACCAUCUUGCAGCAACAGGAGGGAGUAGAGUAGCAUAAAGUAAAGUAGUAGUAGUGUUAUCAACCUCGGCCGGAGAUCCUUUCUCGACUCCCUGCGAGAAAGAAAUCCCAGAGCCAUACUAUCCAGUUAUCAUCACAAUCCAUUUCUCAUCCAUCCAUUUCUCAUCACAAGUAUCCAGUUCUAGUUGUAUCGAUCGGGAUACAACUCCAAGUGUCCGUUACCGUAGGACAGACUAUCGAUAGAUGUUUUCUUCCCUGCAGGGGUGCACCAACUUACCCACCACGCUUGAUUAACUCCGGCCGGACACACUUUCCUGGGUCAUGCCCGGCCUCGGCCAAACAAUACGCCGCAACCCGACCUAGGCUUAAUAGAGAGGUCAGCACGCCGGACUAAACCUAUGCCCCCAGGGGUCAUGGGCCAUCUCCCCGGGAACUCCUGCACGUUGCGUGGGCGGCCGGUGAGCAGACCUAGCUACCUCCUUAAAAAAGUUAGGAGCUUACCAGUCCAACCCGGCGUGCGCCGCUCAGUCGCUGACGUCUAAUAAGCUUCGGCUGAUGCAUACGACGCAGAACGCCCAUACUAUGCCCACGUGAUGGUUAGUGCUAUCAGGCCAGAGGCCCCUCGGAUCAAAUAUCCAAAUCGUAGUGGAUUAGGAACGCGCGGUAAAAAGCAGAGACUCACGAAAGAUGUGACCCCGUUGCCCCGUCUCGAGGACUUGCGGCAAGGGCUAGGAAUGCCCGGCCACGCCUCGUAAUUAUCUCGCGGGCACCCUCCAGGUCAACUCGUCUCCACAUCACUCGCGGGUAUCCCUCAGGGUCGACCCGCCCUUCCAAGUAACAGUUGUAAAGUCCAAGUAUCCGUGUGUCCAAACAUCAAGGGGAAAACCCAAGGAAUCACCCUCGGUGAAUUCCACUCGAUGUAAUCAUCAAGGUGAGCGUAAGAGGAAUCACCCCCGAGGUUCACACUUGAGGGGUUGCACGACAGAGUCGUAUCAGAAGUGGUUAAAGAGGAAAUCACCCUCGAUGACCACGACCGAAUAGCUACACUACAGGGUUAACAUCAGAAAUGUUGUAGAGGUCUCACCCUCGGCACUCGAUAGUAUCCCAAUAGUGUCGAGCAACUAAGGGGAAAGUGAUGUGCGGUGCCGGGGCCUGGUCUUCGAUCCCGUUGAUCGGGUCUUCGAUGAUGAAGCAGGGGCAACAAGGACAAGGUGGGGGUCACUGAUGAAUCACUAACCAACCUAUACUAAGCAGUUUAGGAUAAGCAGGUAAGGUACAACAGCAGAUUACAAAAGCAGGCUAUGCAUCAGAAUAGGAGCAAACAAUAACAAAAGCAAAAUCUAAUGCAAGCAUGAGAGAAUGGAAUGGGCGAUAUCGGGAUGAUCAAGGGGGGGUGCUUGCCUGGUUGCUCUGGCAAGGAGGGGUCGUCGUCGACGUAGUCGAUCACAGGGGCAGCAUCGGUCUCGGGGUCUAUCGGAGAGAAGAGGGGGAAGAAACAGUAAAUAUAAAGCAAACAUAGCAUCACAAAGCAUAACGUGGGAAUAUGUUGUGUCGGGUGUGACUUAACGUAUGACUACACGAUAUAGAUGAAGGGGCGAAACAACCGGGAAUGUUUUCCCGGUUCCGGACCUGUGUCAAACAGAUGACCGGAGGGGGAAAGUUCCAUGUUCAGAUAGUUAGAGGCAUCUGACAUGUAUGUGGGUAGCGUAUUCGAGUUCGUCUCGUCGUUCUGGGCAACUUUCAUGUAUAAAGUUUUUCGAUCCGAGCUAUGGUUUAUUUUCUAUUAAUUUUCAAAGAUUUAAACAAUUUCUGAAAUUAUUAUUAAUUCGGAAAAAAAACUGGAAUUUGCCAUGGGUACACAGAGUGUAAUCCAGCCAGGGUGUAUGACAAGUGGGGCCAGUCAAAGUCAACAUAGUUGAUGUUGACUUGGUCAGAAGUGAACAGUGCAGAUGGGUCCCAUAUGUCAUUGACUUAGACAUUUUUUUUAUAAAACUGAUUUUAUUUAAACUAACUGUAGAUCCACGUAUCACCGGCUAUUAGACUAACUUAGCACUAACUUUAAUCCUAAACUAAACUAGUCCUAAUUAACACAAGGGCCGGCCACACACUGCCGGGGGCCGUGGCCAAGCUGGCCACACACACAAGCACGCAACACACAAUGCUAGGAGUCAAUUCUGUUGUUUUGUUAACAAAAGAUAUCAUUUUCUGAAUUUUGUAGGAUUUAAACCAUGCAUCGAAAGAAUUUGGUCCAGUGGGAUAAAAUAAAGUUUGUCAAGUAUACAUUCUACUCAUAUUAUUUUUGGGCCUGUUAGUAGUUGUUUAACCACUGAUCAGAGGCUGUCAAGGGGGGUUAGUCAGUGUAAAAAGUGAAAAGCUAGCUAGUAGCCGCUACAGUAACUAGCAUCAGCAGUACAGCAAGCAGCGCUCGGCCGUAGCAACCAGUAGCGCAGCCGCAGCAAUGGGCAGGCGAGGGGGAGCAGCACCGGGCGCGGCAGUGCGGGCACGCGGUGUGCGAGCGCGGGGCGGCUGCGGCGCAGGCAGUGGCUCCGCGGGGGCGACGGCAAGCGGCAGUGGCAGCAUCAGGCGACAGCAGCAGUAUGCAGAGCAACAGCGGCAGUACAAGCAAGCGGCGGAGGCGCAAGCAGUAGUGGCAAGCGGCAACAGCAGCAUGGCGCGGUCGUAGCGGCAGGGCCGGGCCGCGGACAAACCUGGGCAGGCGCGUGAGGGCAUGGGCAGGGUGCGCUCGAACGGCCGGACGACGCCGCAUCGAAUGGCGGUGGUGCGAGAUGUUGCGGUGGCUGGAACUGAGCACUACGGGGCUCGACAAAGCGCGAGGGAGGGGUGCAACGGGCCCGCACGGACGUGCUGAGCACGAUCCCGAGCUCAUCUGAGCUCAACGGGGAGCAACGGCAUGGCUUCGAGCACGCCGGCGGAAGCAGAGGCACGGCAACGGCGGCGAACUAGCUAGGGACGAAUGCAGCCACGGGAAGAAGGAAUGGGGGGAGAGAGGAGCUCACCGAGCGGCCAAGAAAGGCCCUCGACAGCUUUGUAGCAGCAGGGGAUGACGAAGACGACGGCGGUCACCGGCGACGCAGAAGAUGGAGACGAGCUCGAUCCGCUCGAUGCCGAGCCCGUCGUCUCCAGUGGCUCGGCUCAGGCGAUGCAGCGGAGGGCGACGAAGCUCCGUGACAUCUCGCCGGGGCUCGGGGUCGUCGGAGAGCGCGGGAUCGACGGCGGUGAGCGGCGGAGGCAAUCGGGAGUGGGCGGAUCUAGCGAGGGGAAAAGGGGGAAUGCAGUGAGGGCGCUAAGGUUCGUCAAGGGGGGGUUCGGGGAGGACUUGUAGGUCGAGUAGGACGCCGGGAGGGGUCGGAUGGCCGCCACGCAGGUGGCCACGGCCGG